rnacentral:rRNA from 1 species
GCUUAUACUCGACCGUCAGCGGCACGUGCGAUCGCGCGUUUCGGCGCGCGGUCACGAAGCCCUGACGAGUAGGAGGGUCGCGGCGGUGAGCGCAGAAGGGCUGGCCGCGAGGCCGUCUGGAGCCGCCGUCGGUGCAGAUCUUGGUGGUAGUAGCAAAUACUCCAGCGAGGCCCUGGAGGACUGACGUGGAGAAGGGUUUCGUGUGAACAGCCGUUGCACACGAGUCAGUCGAUCCUAAGCCCUAGGCGAAAGCCGAUGUCGAUGCGGUGUGGAUUUCUUUUUUUCUUUUACUACUACGACGAAGAGCGAGACAAAUGUUUAUUCGUUCGUUUCGACGUGUAUCGGAAAGUCGAUCUCGUACACACCCAUCGGGCGAAAGGGAAUCCGGUUCCUAUUCCGGAACCUGGCAGCGGAACCGUCAAAAAGUCGGGC